UACGGAAGGCAGCAGUGGGGAAUAUUGCACAAUGGGCGCAAGCCUGAUGCAGCCAUGCCGCGUGUAUGAAAAAGGCCUUCGGGUUGUAAAGUACUUUCAGUCGUGAGGAAGGUGUUAAGGUUAAUAACCUUAGCAAUUGACGUUAGCGACAGAAGAAGCACCGGCUAACUCCGUGCCAGCAGCCGCGGUAAUACGGAGGGUGCGAGCGUUAAUCGGAAUUACUGGGCGUAAAGGGCACGCAGGCGGUUAAUUAAGUUGGAUGUGAAAUCCCCGGGCUUAACCUGGGAAUGGCAUUCAAGACUGGUUAGCUAGAGUCUUGUAGAGGGGGUAGAAUUCCAUGUGUAGCGGUGAAAUGCGUAGAGAUGCGGAGGAAUACCGGUGGCGAAGGCGGCCCCUGGACAAAGACUGACGCUCAUGUGCGAAAGCGUGGGGAGCAAACAGGGAUUAGAUACC
rnacentral:rRNA from 1 species